rnacentral:rRNA from 1 species
UGGGAACCUGCCCAGUGGUAGGGGAUAACUGCGGGAAACUGCAGCUAAUACCCUAUGUGUCCUAUGGGAGAAAGAUUUAUCGCCAUUGGAGGGGCCCGCGUCGGAUUAGGUAGUUGGUGGGGUAAUGGCCCACCAAGCCUGCGAUCCGUAGCUGGUCUGAGAGGAUGAUCAGCCACACUGGGAUUGAGACACGGCCCAGACCUCCGUACGGGAGGCAG